UGGGUGACCUGCCCUCAGCUCUGGGAUAAGCCUGGGAAACUGGGUCUAAUACUGGAUAUUCACUUCUCAUCGCAUGGUGGGUGGUGGAAAGUUUUUUCAGCUGGGGAUGGGCCCGCGGCCUAUCAGCUUGUUGGGUGGGGUAAUGGCCCACCAAGGCGACGACGGGUAGCCGGCCUGAGAGGGUGACCGGCCACACUGGGACUGAGACACGGCCCAGACCUCCGUACGGGA
rnacentral:rRNA from 1 species